rnacentral:rRNA from 1 species
GACGAACGCUGGCGGCGCGCUUAACACAUGCAAGUCGAACGGAAAGGCCUGCUUUCCCUUGUGGAUUGCGGGUACUCGAGUGGCGAACGGGUGAGUAACACGUGAGUGAUCUGCCCCCAACUUGGGUAUAAGCCUGGGAAACUGGGUCUAAUUCCCGAUAGGACUGCAGGGUGGUGCCUGUGGUGGAAAACGAUUUUCUAGUGGUUGGGGAUGAGCUCGCGGCCUAUCAGCUUGUUGGUGGGGUAAUGGUCUACCAAGGCGGCGACGGGUAGCCGGCCUGAGAGGGUGGACGGCCACAUUGGGACUGAGAUACGGCCCAGACUCCUACGGGAGGCAGCAGUGGGGAAUAUUACACAAUGGGCGGAAGCCUGAUGCAGCGACGCCGCGUGGGGGAUGACGGCCUUCGGGUUGUAAACUCCUUUCGACCGCGAGGAAGCCACCUGGUUGGAAGGGUGGUGACGGUAGUGGUAGAAGAAGCACCGGCUAACUACGUG